UCCUGGAGAAACGUAGUGAGUUAUUUCAAUUGAUUGUUCACAAAGACUGAACUUGUUCUCCUCACUACGGCACUUGACUUGGGGGAA
ensembl:misc_RNA Y_RNA Y RNA